rnacentral:rRNA from 1 species
CCCCUAGUAACGGCGAGUGAAGAGGGAAAAGCUCAAAUUUUGAAUCUGGUGUCUUUGACUCCCGAGUUGUAAUCUAGAGAAGUGUUUUCCGUGUCGGACCGUGCACAAGUUCCCUGGAACGGGGCGUCAUAGAGGGUGAGAAUCCCGUAUAUGGCAUGGACUGCCGAUGCUCUGUGAUACACUCUCAACGAGUCGAGUUGUUUGGGAAUGCAGCUCAAAAUGGGUGGUAAAUUCCAUCUAAAGCUAAAUAUUGGCGAGAGACCGAUAGCGAACAAGUACCGUGAGGGAAAGAUGAAAAGCACUUUGGAAAGAGAGUGAAACAGUACGUGAAAUUGUUGAAAGGGAAGCGUUUGAAGUCAGUCAUGUCUGGCGGGAUUCAGCUUGGCUUUUGCCUGGUGUAUUUUCCGUCCGACGGGUCAGCAUCAAUUUCGACCGAGGGAAAAAGACGUGCGGAAUGUGGCUGUCUUCGGGCAGUGUUAUAGCCCCGCGUUGUAUGCCUCGGUUGGGAUUGAGGAACGCAGCGCGCCUAUAGGCCAGGGGCUACCCGCCUCUUGACACGCGCUUAGGAUGCUGGCAUA